UACACAGGCAUGCACCCUUCCCUCUGAAAGUCUCAGGAAUUUUUGAAAUUCCUCUUCCUAUUUGCUCCGGGUGGAGAGCUCACAUAGCAACUGCCCAGCUGACUAUGCCAGCUCCCUGCCACAAAUGUGCUCUUGCCUGGAGUGAGGUGGCAGAUGUGCUGGGACUGUGGGGAGAGGUCACAGCUUCAUUGCAGCCAUAGGAAGUUUGAUACCUACGGGCAGAUUGCUCAUGGCAUGGAGGACAAGGUGUAUGAUAGGGACAUAUAGCAGUGCCGUGCAAAGAUCAAGGAGCCGAGGCAGGUGUAUCAGAAGGCAAGGGAGGCCAAUAGUUGUUCUGGUGCAUUGCCAAAGGCACGCCACUUCUACAAGGAACUGCAUGCCACCCUCCAUGGCAACCCCACCUCUGCCAAGAGCCCCAUGGACACUUCAGGUGGAGGGGAGGCUGGAGACAACAGCUAGUUAAGUGACCCCGAGGAUGAGGUGGUGGACAAGGAAGUGGAGUUGGAGGAGCAUGGGGGACAGACAACAGGGAUCUCUGGUGCCAUGGCACACCAGGACCUCUGGAGGGGUCUAGCUAGUCCUAGCACUCCGGCUCUGGUGCGCUUGAUGCAGGAGAGGGAAGGUCCGCAUAUGUAGAUGUGCCCUUGAGGGUCUCCUCCUGCACACCAGCUGACAAGGAGACGAAACAAGAGGAGUAAGGAAGACAUGUUCUGGGACAUGCUGCAAUCCUCUUGUGCUUCAGAUUGCGAGCAGAGCGCAUGGAGAGAGAGAGGCUAUCAAUGAGAAACUGCGAAUGGAUAGCCAGGAUAGGAAACGGGCAGGAGCCCGUUAUAUAUAGGAUAUAGGAUCAAACAGACAUGCAAAAAUCUCCGACUGAACUUCAAGCGGAACCCAUCUGUGCUCGUCUCCCCCUGCAGCUCAUACAUGGCUUCCAUGCCCUGCCUACGCACCCCCCCUCCACAUUCCUUGCAUGUUGCCGGGCCAUCGCAGUACCCCAUGCACUCCACCCUGAGGGGUGUAUUUCACAACGGCAGCUGGACAUACCCCCAACUCUAAGAGCCUCAUUGGCAAAUGUGCUCUUGAUUUGUAUGUUCUGAAGGCACAUAGAAAUGUUUGCAUCUGCGUUUAAUAAAAAUGUACUUAUGGAAA